GACGAACGCUGGCGGCGUGCUUAACACAUGCAAGUCGUACGGUAAGGCCCUUUCGGGGGUACACGAGUGGCGAACGGGUGAGUAACACGUGAGUAACCUGCCCACAACUUUGGGAUAACGCUAGGAAACUGGUGCUAAUACUGGAUAUGUGCUCCUGCUGCAUGGUGGGGGGUGGAAAGCUCCGGCGGUUGUGGAUGGACUCGCGGCCUAUCAGCUUGUUGGUGGGGGAGUGGCCUACCAAGGCGGCGACGGGUAGGCGGCCUGGGAGGGUGGCCGGCCACAUUUGGACUGAGAUACGGCCCAGACUCCUACGGGGGGCAGCAGGGGGGAAUAUUGCUCAAUGGGCGCGAGCCUGAUGCAGCAACGCCGCGUGCGGGAUGACGGCCUUCGGGUUGUAAACCGCUUUCAGCAGGGACGAAGCUUUUUGUGACGGUACCUGCAGAAGAAGCACCGGCUAACUACGUG
rnacentral:rRNA from 1 species